rnacentral:misc_RNA from 1 species
AAAUGCGAUAAGUAAUGUGCAUUGCAGAAUUCAGUGAAUCAUCGAAUCUUUGAACGCACAUUGCGCCCGCCAGUAUUCUGGCGGGCAUGCCUGUUCGAGCGUCAUUACAACCCUCAGGCCCCCGGGCCUGGCGUUGGGGAUCGGCGGAAGCCCCCUGCGGGCACAACGCCGUCCCCCAAAUACAGUGGCGGUCCCGCCGCAGCUUCCAUUGCGUAGUAGCUAACACCUCGCAACUGGAGAGCGGCGCGGCCACGCCGUAAAACACCCAACUUCUGAAUGUUGACCUCGAAUCAGGUAGGAAUACCCGCUGAACUUAAGC